rnacentral:rRNA from 1 species
UACGAAGGGGGCUAGCGUUGUUCGGAUUUACUGGGCGUAAAGCGCACGUAGGCGGAUUGGUCAGUUAGGGGUGAAAUCCCAGAGCUCAACUCUGGAACUGCCUUUAAUACUGCCAGUCUAGAGUCCGGAAGAGGUGAGUGGAACUCCUAGUGUAGAGGUGGAAUUCGUAGAUAUUAGGAAGAACACCAGUGGCGAAGGCGGCUCACUGGUCCGGUACUGACGCUGAGGUGCGAAAGCGUGGGGAGCAAACAGG